GACGAACGCUGGCGGCGUGCCUAAUACAUGCAAGUCGAGCGAACCUGCAGGAGCUUGCUCCUGUUGGUUAGCGGCGGACGGGUGAGUAACACGUGGGCAACCUGCCUGUAAGACUGGGAUAACACCGGGAAACCGGUGCUAAUACCGGAUAAUCCUUUUCCUCUCAUGAGGAAAAGCUGAAAGUCGGUUUCGGCUGACACUUACAGAUGGGCCCGCGGCGCAUUAGCUAGUUGGUGAGGUAACGGCUCACCAAGGCGACGAUGCGUAGCCGACCUGAGAGGGUGUUCGGCCACACUGGGACUGAGACACGGCCCAGACUCCUACGGGAGGCAGCAGUAGGGAAUCUUCCACAAUGGACGAAAGUCUGAUGGAGCAACGCCGCGUGAGCGAUGAAGGCCUUCGGGUCGUAAAGCUCUGUUGUUAGGGAAGAACAAGUACCGGAGUAACUGCCGGUACCUUGACGGUACCUAACCAGAAAGCCACGGCUAACUACGUGCCAGCAGCCGCCGUAACAC
rnacentral:rRNA from 1 species